rnacentral:snoRNA from 1 species
ACAGACUGAAAAUGACCUCUGAUGUAGCGGUGAUCUGGGGUCAGAUAACUGUGCCAAUAGUACUGUGGUGCGUUAAGCUUAUUGCGUGUGUCUGUUAGUGGCAGCGUGAUAAAACCCAUGUACCGACAAUC